rnacentral:sRNA from 1 species
AAUCUUUUCAAAAUACAUAAAGCCAUGUCACACACAGGCAGAGGCUCAUUCAGCGUGAGGCGAUGGAAAUUUCUAUCAGUUCACAAUGACUGAGGAACCCCUAUGUGAAAAGUGGCAUGUCUGUCGUCCAACCACGUUAGCCCUGYUCAUGUAUGUACAGGAAUGUUGCGCUAAGUGCUCCACCACAUUGUGUGGUGCGUGGUGUUAUGAUUGCUGUCUGCGGGGGGAUCUAUGUGUGUCAGCCAUGAGAAACGUUUGUGUGAAUCAUCCAUUGCUGCCUUGGGAAUUUGGUAAUGGAUACAAGCACAUACAAUUUUCUAAUGAUACAUAUGUAUUCACUCGCAGCACACCAUACACUGCACACGUAAACCGUUGAUGUGGGAGCCUCCGCGACAAUACAUGAAUGAGGCUCUUCUACUACUCUAUUCAUAUGYGAAACCUAUUCCUCUAAAUAUGAAGCAUCACUGCACAGCCUGUUCAUCAGCUGUGUGGUGUUGUGGAGAUUAACGUUAAGACAACUUUCAACAAUGGAUAUCUAGGCUCUCAGAUCGAUGAAGAACGCAGCGAAAUGCGAUACGUAGUGUGAAUUGCAGAAAUACGUGAAUCAUCAAAUCUUUGAACGCAAAUUGCGCUCGAGGCUUCGGCCAAGAGCAUGCCUGCCUCAGCGUCGGGUUACUGUUACAUCACCAAAGAUCUGAUGUCCUAGCAGGACUCGGUGAAGGGUGGAUCUGGCUUUCUCCGUGUGGCGUCUUGGUCUUCUGAUGGGAAGCACCCUCCUCAUCACAMCACAUGUGUUGUGGUGCCGAGGUACUCUCUAUCUACUAGACUAUUACGUGCGGAGUCAGCUGAAACAAAUGUUGAGAAGCAAUACUACUUGUCUGCGCACAUAUGCUACCUCUACAUAUGUGUACACAUAGAUAGUUGCCAUGGACCAGUUCAAUCAUGGUUCUUCAAAACAACAUGAUGAAGCCGGGGGCCUCUACUGGGUAGGCAAACUUGUUURCUGUGAAUGCUUUAGUAGAUGGCACAUUUCCAUGCGCUCCCAUCAUUCAAAUAUGUGUAUUCAUGAAAUGUUCAGAAAGCUGUGCACGGAGCGUGUGAGCCCCCGGCUCACACACAAGUGUCUUCUUCAUAUACARUUCUAUACAGGAAAACCUUUGAACAACACCUCGACCUGAGCUCAGGCAAGA